ACCCGUGAUGAAUCUGUCCAACUCGCUGAGAUGUUGUGAAGCCAAGACCCUGCUUCAGGGAGAACCUACUUGGUGGAAUAAUAUUUAUAUGAGUUAAGUGGAUUUGACUGAGGU
rfam:Cucumis melo, WGS project CAJI01000000 data, contig: 11914